GAUCAGAGCAGUGCCCCUGUGCUGAGCCCUGCAGGUUUCAUCUCCAGGCCCCGUGACUUCAGCAUGACAAGAGAUGAUGAAGACUUUGCCAGUGAAAGAAGAGCUUCCAUCUGCCUGCCUGCCUUCAGAUCAAGUCAUCUUUGCCAACCAAAGCAGAUUCUUCUUGCCUGCUUCCAGGAGGCAAGAGCUUAAACAACUGGUCUCAGAGUGGGGUGUAUCUGCAGUCUUAGCCAUGAGAAGAGGAGAUGAAAUGUUCUCCUGCUCAGUGUAUACAGAGGAGACUGGAGCAGAGCUGCUAUCUCCAUAACACUAAAACUACAGUGAAAUGGGAGUUCUUUGUUCAUGUUUCGUUGCCUGCUUUGAAGAAAACAGUGAUCACAAGAUCAGACA